GCAUUUAAGCACCGGUUCCCGUACGAUCACCAAAGUUAAGUAAUAUCGAGCUUAGUCAUUACCUAGAUGGGUGACCCCUUAGGAAUAAAAAGUGCUGCA